UCGAGAAUCAUUCACAAUGGGGGCAACCCUGAUGGUGCAACGCCGCGUGGAGGAUGACGGUCCUAGGAUUGUAAACUCCUGUCAUUGGGGAGUAAGACUUGUGCGUUAAGAGCGUGCAAGUUUGAUAGUACCCAAAGAGGAAGGGACGGCUAACUUCGUGCCAGCAGCCGCGGUAAUACGAAGGUCCCAAGCGUUGUUCGGAAUCACUGGGCGUAAAGCGUGUGCAGGCGGCGCGGAAAGUCAAAUGUGAAAGCCCGGGGCUCAACCCCGGAACUGCAUUCGAUACUCCCGUGCUGGAGUAAUGGAGAGGCAAGUGGAAUUCUCGGUGUAGCAGUGAAAUGCGUGGAUAUCGAGAGGAACAUCAAUGGCGAAGGCAACUUGCUGGACAUUUACUGACGCUGAGACACGAAGGCCAGGGUAGCGAAAGGGAUUAGAUACCCCCGUAGUCC
rnacentral:rRNA from 1 species